UACGUAGGGGGCAAGCGUUAUCCGGAUUUACUGGGUGUAAAGGGAGCGUAGGUGGCUGUGCAAGUCAGAUGUGAAAGCCCAGGGCUCAACCCUGGGACUGCAUUUGAAACUGCAGAGCUAGAGUGCAGGAGAGGUAAGUGGAAUUCCUAGUGUAGCGGUGAAAUGCGUAGAUAUUAGGAGGAACACUAGUGGCGAAGGCGGCUUACUGGACUGUAACUGACACUGAGGCUCGAAAGCGUGGGUAGCAAACAGG
rnacentral:rRNA from 1 species